CAGUCGCCGCGGUAAUACGAAGGGGGCCAGCGUUGUUCGGAUUUACUGGGCGUAAAGCGCACGUAGGCGGAUCGAUCAGUCAGGGGUGAAAUCCCAGAGCUCAACUCUGGAACUGCCUUUGAUACUGUCGAUCUGGAGUAUGGAAGAGGUGAGUGGAAUUCCGAGUGUAGAGGUGAAAUUCGUAGAUAUUCGGAGGAACACCAGUGGCGAAGGCGGCUCACUGGUCCAUUACUGACGCUGAGGUGCGAAAGCGUGGGGAGCAAACAGGAUUAGAUACCCCUGUAGUCCCUGUCUCUUAUAC
rnacentral:rRNA from 1 species